GCCCAACAGCUAGCCCGCCCAAACAAUUCCAACAAUCCAUGUUAAUAACCCCUAAAUACCCCAGUAUUUAUAUUAAACAAACCAUUUUUCCCCCUUAGUAUAGGCGAUAGAAAGGGGACCACGGCGCAAUAGAGAAAGUACCGCAAGGGAAUGCUGAAAGAGAAGUGAAACAACCCAGUAAAGCUUAAAAAAGCAGAGAUUACCACUCGUACCUUUUGCAUCAUGAUUUAGCGAGUGUUCCCCGAGCAAAGAGUUCUUUAGUUUGACACCCCGAAACUAAGUGAGCUACUCCAAGACAGCCUAUAUAUAGGGCGUACCCGUCUCUGUAGCAAAAGAGUGGGAUGAGCUUUGAGUAGAGGUGAUAAACCUACCGAACCUAGUUAUAGCUGGUUGUCCAAGAAAUGAAUAGGAGUUCAGCCUCUUGGCUUCUCUUUUCACCUUAGUCUGACCCCCUAAAUUGAUGCAUUAAAGAAACCAAGAGAGUUAAUCAAAGGGGGUACAGCCCCUUUGAAUCAAGACACAACUUUACCAGGAGGGU
rnacentral:rRNA from 1 species